rnacentral:rRNA from 1 species
UGCAAGUCGAACGGCAGCACAGUAAGAGCUUGCUCUUAUGGGUGGCGAGUGGCGGAGGGAGGGGAAUACAUCGGAAUCUACCUUUUCGUGGGGGAUAACCCUAGGGAAACUUACGCUAAUACCGCAUACGACCUUCGGGUGAAAGCAGGGGACCUUCGGGCCUUGCGCGGAUAGAUGAGCCGAUGUCGGAUUAGCUAGUUGGCGGGGUAAAGGCCCACCAAGGCGACGAUCCGUAGCUGGUCUGAGAGGAUGAUCAGCCACACUGGAACUGAGACACGGUCCAGACUCCUACGGGAGGCAGCAGUGGGGAAUAUUGGACAAUGGGCGCAAGCCUGAUCCAGCCAUACCGCGUGGGUGAAGAAGGCCUUCGGGUUGUAAAGCCCUUUUGUUGGGAAAGAAAAGCAAUCGAUUAAUACCCGGUUGUUCUGACGGUACCCAAAGAAUAAGCACCGGCUAACUUCGUGCCAGCAGCCGCGGUAAUACGAAGGGUGCAAGCGUUACUCGGAAUUACUGGGCGUAAAGCGUGCGUAGGUGGUUGUUUAAGUCUGUUGUGAAAGCCCUGGGCUCAACCUGGGAAUUGCAGUGGAUACUGGGCAACUAGAGUGUGGUAGAGGGUAGUGGAAUUCCCGGUGUAGCAGUGAAAUGCGUAGAGAUCGGGAGGAACAUCCAUGGCGAAGGCAGCUACCUGGACCAACACUGACACUGAGGCACGAAAGCGUGGGGAGCAAACAGGAUUAGAUACCCUGGUAGUCCACGCCCUAAACGAUGCGAACUGGAUGUUGGGUGCAAUUUGGCACGCAGUAUCGAAGCUAACGCGUUAAGUUCGCCGCCUGGGGAGUACGGUCGCAAGACUGAAACUCAAAGGAAUUGACGGGGGCCCGCACAAGCGGUGGAGUAUGUGGUUUAAUUCGAUGCAACGCGAAGAACCUUACCUGGUCUUGACAUGUCGAGAACUUUCCAGAGAUGGAUUGGUGCCUUCGGGAACUCGAACACAGGUGCUGCAUGGCUGUCGUCAACUCUUGU